AGGUAUCAUAACCUCCCUCUGUACACAUACUGUGCAUGUGCAGUCAUCAUCUUCUCUGAGCGCUCUGUCAAAAACGGUAAUAUACAUCACUGGGCAGCUCCCCUGGCUUCUUGGUGUCUUUCUAACCACAUACCCACUGACUAACACAGCAGGGACCCACAUCCAGACAGCUUAUGAAAGAGGACAGUAAGAAUCUGUUGCAGUUAAGUCAAACUUUUAAAAUCUUCAAGAAAAGAAAAUGGGUCAACAAGAUACAAAACAUACCAUUACAUACGUAGGGGACCAUGAAUCACGACGACGGGCAGAGAAGGCAGAAGCAGAAAAUACAAGAGUGGAAGAGAUAUGCAAACGUCUCCAAGACGAGAACUUGAGAAUGGAAACAGAACAACGGAUGGUCAAAGAACAAAAUCAAGAGCUCGAGAGGCAGAAACAAAUAUUAAUCGAAUCCCAAAGAAAUAAGGAAGAAGAAGAAAGGACCAGGAUAUAUAAACACCUGAAAGCAGCAAAAUAAGAAGAUAUAACUGUAGACAGCGUCUAAGGUUGAGCACUGAAUAACACUGAACUUGUCAUUUAACGAAUGAGGUUGCAGCUACGGUACACUUUCAAAAUCAUACAAUGUAGGAGUUCACUUGUUUUUUUUGCAUACAUACAAUUGUUGCUGUUUUCUUUCCUUUCUGUAUUUUCUAUUAAACUUAUUUUGCAAUUGGCCUAUAGGAUUAUUCAAGAAAGUAUAAUUAAAUGUUAUUUAGUAGGCUCAUUGCAUAUGAUUAUGUACAUCCCUAAUACAUUUAAUAUAGACAUGAUUGUAAUAGCCUCUGGGGGUAAAUUCCUACAACAGAAGACAUAAGGAAAAUAUUUGAAUUCAUUACAUUUUUUAAAUUAAAUAAUAAAAAAGUCAUUAAAUUUUUUUUUAAGAGGAAUAUACAUGUUAAAUGUGUAAGUAAAGUAUAACAAAGCCAGUCAUCCAGUGACAAGUUACUAAUUAUUCGGUGAAUUUUGAUUAAUUUCCAUUACGAUUAUCUGCUUAAAAGUGUAGUUUAUGUCAACCAUGCACAUUUUAUACAUUUCAAAAUACCAAGGACUGUUAAUGGCUAGCCGACUCAAAUCCUUUUUCAUCAUGACACAUCCCACACAACCCAUGUCGCUCAUGAACAAAAAAUAUAAACAUGUUUCAUGAGCUGAAAUAAAAGAUCCCAGAAAUGUU